rnacentral:rRNA from 1 species
GUGGGGAAUUUUGGACAAUGGGCGAAAGCCUGAUCCAGCCAUGCCGCGUGCAGGAUGAAGGCCUUCGGGUUGUAAACUGCUUUUGUACGGAACGAAAAGACUCCUUCUAAUAAAGGGGGUCCAUGACGGUACCGUAAGAAUAAGCACCGGCUAACUACGUGCCAGCAGCCGCGGUAAUACGUAGGGUGCAAGCGUUAAUCGGAAUUACUGGGCGUAAAGCGUGCGCAGGCGGUUAUAUAAGACAGAUGUGAAAUCCCCGGGCUCAACCUGGGAACUGCAGUUGUGACUGUAUAGCUAGAGUACGGUAGAGGGGGAUGGAAUUCCGCGUGUAGCAGUGAAAUGCGUAGAUAUGCGGAGGAACACCGAUGGCGAAGGCAAUCCCCUGGACCUGUACUGACGCUCAUGCACGAAAGCGUGGGGAGCAAACAGGAUUAGAUACCCCGGUAGUCC